rnacentral:lncRNA from 1 species
CAGCACCACACACACGCUAGCCUGAUAGUGGUUCCUAUGUGGACACACGUGGCAUUUGGGGGUGCUUCUUGGCCCUUUGACUAAGUGUAUGUGGUCCCGUCACAGGGCCGGGUUUGUUGCCGUGUGAGUUGGGAAAGAGUCCUGGUGAAAGGAUGCGCCAGAAAGUAGACGGCUCGGUCAGUGUACCCGUCUCCCAGUCGCUUUGUUUGCAGCAUCUUCUUUUACAUUACCUCCGCUUAAAGUUAAACUCCUGGUGUGAGUUGUCUGCAGUGGGAUUGAUGAUGAACUAGCACACGGCUCAUUUAACCCUGGAACAUUGACCCGAGUUGGCUUUUACGAAUCUGUUAAGUACUUUCCCAACCCUGCAAAUCUUUGGGUGCCUUACAUAUCACUUUCUCUUACUGCCUUUCCCUGCUCCUGGGGAUGCAGUGGGGGACAGUGCGAUUCGCUCGAAUAAGCUGACUGUGCAGCUGAGGGUGGAGGGGCAGCUGUUUGUAAUUCACUGGUAAUUUUAAUCGUCUC